ensembl:lncRNA
CUUCUGAGGAAGCAGGAGACUGAGCCCUCUGACAAUGACUUGAGACUGGAGACUUCCUGCAAGAGAGAGAGGAGAGAUGCACUGUUCAUUCAGCUGGAGAGCUGUGCAAAGACCAGACCCACCGGCCUUUUCCUGACAGUGGGAGCUGGGCCCAAGUGUGGGCUGCUCCUACUAGAGGCACCACAAGAGGACCACCUUCCUCAAACCUUCCUAGAAGUCAGAGUACGGGCAAUGGACUUCCCUCAAUCCUCAGAGGACUCUCUUUCAGCGAUGGCUCAGAGCCUCUUAGGACAGAGAGGGACCAGAGCUUCCCCCCAAAGCAAGACCCCUGUCUUAUCUGACAGGUAUGAGGGCUUAGGGAUGGGACAGAGGAUGUGACAAGGUUACAUGUAGCACAGGGGCUAGGUUAAUAAGGAAAUCAAAGAGGAAAGAAACCUGGAAGAUUCCUCAUGUGUUCUUUUUUGCUCUAUUCGUAGGGAUGAGGUGGCAGUGUGGGGUAGAGGACUAGGACAAAGCACAGCCUUCUCUGCUCAUGGUGAGCUUUCUAGGCUGCCUGGUCACUGUGACCAGCAACUUUUCAACUGUGCCAUUCUACUACCAAGGCUGACACAACUGGUGACCAUGUAGCAAUAGGACUGUACUGACUUAGCGACAUCUGGAAUCACACAAUGAUCAUGUGUCACAGAAGAGUUUCUUUUUUUUAGAAAAGGAUUAAAACAAAAACUAUUUAUUUUGUCCAUAGGAGUGAGUACACUGUCCCUGUUUUCAGACACAACAGUAGAGGGUAGUAGAUGAGAUUAGAAAUGGUUAUAAGACACUGUGUAGUUGCUGGGAAUUGAACUCAGAUCCCCUGGAAGAGCAGUCAGUGGUCUUAACCACUGAGCCAUCCCUCCAGCCCCAGUAUAUUGUAUUUUCAAUAUUGUUUGUUUUUAUUUAUUUUCUCACCUAUGUAUGUAUGGCGUUUCUGUGAGUACAGGUACUCAUGUGCUUGUGUAAAGGUCAGGG